rnacentral:rRNA from 1 species
CAAACGGGUGCGGAACACGUACGCAACCUCCCCGGAACAGGUGAAUAGCCUUGCGAAAGUAAGAUUAAUACACCGUACCAUAUAGUUGUGGCAUCACGGUUAUAUUAUAGGUAGCAAUACCGGUUCCGGAUGGGCGUGCGCCUGAUUAGGUAGUUGGCGGGGUAACGGCCCACCAAGCCUUCGAUCAGUAACUGGUGUGAGAGCACGACCAGUCACACGGGCACUGAGACACGGGCCCGG